rnacentral:ncRNA from 1 species
CGCAGGAUGUUAGAUUUUCUUAUUACUCCGUUUAUUGGUCAGCGAUGUCCGAACAGGACGUUCGGACAAGACGACACGUGCCAUGGAUGGCGCGUCGGAGUCGAUCGCAUUCCAUCAAAGUAUCAUUCACCGGAGUAAUUAGAAAAUCUUCA